rnacentral:rRNA from 1 species
GAUGAACGCUGGCGGCGUGCCUAAUACAUGCAAGUCGAGCGAACGGACGAGAAGCUUGCUUUUCUGAUGUUAGCGGCGGACGGGUGAGUAACACGUGGAUAACCUACCUAUAAGACUGGGAUAACUUCGGGAAACCGGAGCUAAUACCGGAUAAUAUUUUGAACCGCAUGGUUCAAAAGUGAAAGACGGUCCUGCUGUCACUUAUAGAUGGUUCCGCGCUGCAUUAGCUAGUUGGUAAGGUAACGGCUUACCAAGGCAACGAUGCAUAGCCGACCUGAGAGGGUGAUCGGCCACACUGGAACUGAGACACGGUCCAGACUCCUACGGGAGGCAGCAGUAGGGAAUCUUCCGCAAUGGGCGAAAGCCUGACGGAGCAACGCCGCGUGAGUGAUGAAGGUCUUCGGAUCGUAAAACUCUGUUAUUAGGGAAGAACAUAUGUGUAAGUAACUGUGCACAUCUUGACGGUACCUAAUCAGAAAGCCACGGCUAACUACGUG